rnacentral:rRNA from 1 species
UACAGAGGGUGCAAGCGUUAAUCGGAAUUACUGGGCGUAAAGCGCACGUAGGUGGCUUGAUAAGUUGGGUGUGAAAUCCCCGGGCUUAACCUGGGAAUUGCAUUCAAGACUGUCUUGCUAGAGUGUGGAAGAGGGAAGCGGAAUUCCAGGUGUAGCGGUGAAAUGCGUAGAUAUCUGGAGGAACAUCAGUAGCGAAGGCGGCUUCCUGGUCCAACACUGACACUGAGGUGCGAAAGCGUGGGGAGCAAACAGG